GUACGAGAGUUCAUGACCUUGGAGUUAGAGUUUCCGGAAGGAAGCGGGGGAAAGGAAAAGUUAAUGGCGCGGAGCAGAUAGCAGGGAACUGGGGAACAGUUGUUGUACCACGGGUGGAGAGUGUGUGAGGCAGGCUCCCCGCGGCAGUCACGGGUUUGUGUUGGUGAACGCGAGGCGAGUUCGGCUAGGUGGCUGGCCGGAGCUGGGCUGACGGUGCGGUCACCGCUGUGAGAAGACAUCCCCUGCACGGACGGGAGGAGUUCCGCCGGGUCGACGGAGAUAGCUGCUGCCAAGGGAGACGGAGGACCGACGCUGCUAGCAGGUGCCGAGGGGUACAGAGGGCUGUCGCUGCGAGUUGCUGCGGGCGGAGACGGUUGCUGCCGUGACGAGGGAGCGAUUCAUUCAUUCGCUCUCUGCGGUCUGGUCCUGCUGAUUUCACCGAUACACGGAGAGGGGCUCCAUAAAUACCUGCAGAAAGAGUCUGUGGACUUGGCACAAGCAACAUUCUACAAAGAUGCAGUGUUGGAAACUGAAAUCAACGUGGAGUAAUGAAAUGGCACCGAAGUUCUACAAGGAAACAAGAAAUUUGGCCAACAACAGCCAUAAGGGGACAGAGACUGAGGUGAACUGCAAUAAAUUUAAGAAGAGAAAAGGUGAGCAGUGCACAAAUCAAUAGUAAAGAUAAGUAGCAUAAUAACCUUUGGAUGUGUGUGUGUGUGUGUGACAAUAUUUAUCUAUUAUAAAGGUAGAUAUAGCCUCCCCAACCUACCAAUGCCAAUCUCACUUCAAAAAAAAAAAAAAGACAAGCCCCAGGUCAAGGGGCUAGA